rnacentral:rRNA from 1 species
UACGAAGGGUGCAAGCGUUACUCGGAAUUACUGGGCGUAAAGCGUGCGUAGGUGGUUUGUUAAGUCUGUUGUGAAAGCCCCGGCUCAACCUGGGAAUGGCAAUGGAUACUGGCAGGCUAGAGUGCGGUAGAGGGUAGUGGAAUUCCCGUGUAGCGGUGAAAUGCGUAGAGAUCGGGAGGAACACAGUGGCGAAGGCGGACUACCCUGGACCAG